rnacentral:lncRNA from 1 species
AUAGUAGAUGUUAAAUGUCAUGUGUAUAAGAACAGAGAUAGUAUCAGCUAUAAGAGUGUACAGGUCAUGUAAAAAUAGCACUAAAGCUAGCUUCCAUCUAUAAGCUUCUCUCUUAGGCCCUGUCUGGGGUAGCGGUAGCUUUUCCAGAAGCUACUUCCUGGAAAAGCUCUUCUUGGUGGCCCAGGAAGCGCUUCCUGGAGAAGCGAAAGUGAUCUGUUUGGCAACCUUGCUUUUCGCCGCUGUCGAUGUGAGGAUUGAGGAAGACGAGCUCCGGGCGACGGCGCGGCAACGAGGGGGAGCCAGAGAGCGUGGGAGUCGAGAAAAUGGAGGGAGGGGAGGUCGGACCAGCAGCCGCCGUCGAGGAAAGAGAGGCCGGGGUGACGGCGGAUGCCGACGAAAAGGGAGGUCGGGGCGCCGGCGGACAUCGAGGGAAGCUGUUGAAGGAGGGAGACUUGGGCGGUGACAGCAGGAGGGGAACUCGAGGGCGGCGGCGGCCGUAGAGGCAAGGGAGCUCAGGGCAGCUGCCUUCGGUCGUGAGGGGAGAGAGCUCGGCGGCGGCCGUCCAGCAGGGGUAUCCGCGGAUCUCAAGCUCGGAGGACGGACGGCGCCCGGCGGUCUUCAGAUGGAGUGGCGAGGUCGGGAUGAGGCGACGUGAGGACGAAGUGGAGAGGGGGCGGACGCAAGAUCCGUCACGGGGAUGAAAAGCUCGGGAAGCGACGCGGAGGGAGCUUUUCCAAUUUAAAGUUUCAAAAAAAAAAGCUUUCCCAAUUUUAGUACCAAAAACCGGUGCUUUUAACCGCUUAGAGAAGCAACCUGUUUGGGGAGCUUUUGGCUUUUGGAGCUUCCUGGAGAAGCAAAAGCUUCUAAAAGCUUCCCAAACAGGACCGUUGUUAAAAAUGUGGUGAUAAUCGUC